rnacentral:tRNA from 1 species
GCCGUGUUAGCUCAGUUGGUAGAGCGGCUGUUUUGUAAACAGUUGGUCAUCUGUUCGAAUCGGAUAUGCGGCA